UAUAUACUCCCUCCGUUCCUAAAUACUUGUCUUUCUAGGCAUUUCAAAUGACUACUACAUACGGAUGUAUGUAGACAUAUUUUAGAGUGUCGAUUCACUCAUUUUGCUCCGUAUGUAGUCAUUUGUUGAAAUGCCUAGAAAGACAAGUAUUUAGGAACGGAGGGAGUACUAU
rfam:Triticum aestivum genome assembly, contig: Triticum_aestivum_CS42_TGACv1_scaffold_050124_1BS